GCAAACUUGGUCAUUUAGAGGAAGUAAAAGUCGUAACAAGGUCUCCGUUGGUGAACCAGCGGAGGGAUCAUUACAGAGUUUACAACUCCCAAACCCCUGUGAACAUACCAUUAUCGUUGCCUCGGCGGUGUCUCUGCUUCUGCUGAGCCCGCCAGAGGACCCAACAAACUCUUGUUUUAGAAGUAUUAUCUGAGUGACAAGUUUAAUAAAUCAAAACUUUCAACAACGGAUCUCUUGGUUCUGGCAUCGAUGAAGAACGCAGC
rnacentral:misc_RNA from 1 species